rnacentral:lncRNA from 10 species
AGACAGGGUUUUGCAGCGUUGGCUGGGCUGGUCUCGAUCUCCUGACCCCAAAUGUUUCUCCCGCCUCAGGUUCUCAAAGUGCUGGGAUUACAGACAUGAGCCACCAUGCCCGGUCAGACUCUGGAUAUUAGGCUGUGAGUAUUUUUAGUUAUUUUAAUUUUUAUUUAUUUAUUUAGAGACAAGAUCUUGUUCCAUUGUUCAAACUGGAGUGUAGUGGCAUGAUCUUAUCUCACCGCAGCCUUUAAUUUUAAAGAUAGGGUCUCACUUUGUCACCCAGGAACCUCGAACUCCUGGGCUCAAGCAAUCUUCCCACCUCAGCCUCCCAAGUAGCUUGGAUGACAGGUAUGUGCCACCAUGCCUGGCUUUUGUUGUUUUUGUUAGAGAAGUGGUUUUACCAUGUUGCCCAGCCAGGCUGGCCUCAAGUGAUUCUCUUGCCUCAGUCUCCCAAAGUGCCUGGGAUUACAGGCAUGAGCCACUGGGCCUGGCCUAUUUUUAGUUUUGUAUUGGGCACAAUUGUUUAAAGUAUUCAAGGAAUCAGUUGCCAUGACAGUUUGGCUCUGUGUCCCAAAGCGUGCUCUGAGGCUCUGACACCAGAGUUCCACGGUCAAAGGCCCCUGAGAAGUGCUAUGUUAAGGGAACAGCUUCCUCGCCUAGAGGGGUCUACUUUAAUAUGCCAAGGAGCAUGGGAAUCUUGAACAGGAGACUGGAAUCCACAGUCUGCCUCCAUUCAACUGAUCUUGGUUUUCCAGAGCAAAGCCUGGGAUCAGCAUUCCAAGGAACACACUUUGGGAACAUAGUCGGUGGAAGGCUCUCAUAACUAAAAGGUCUCUCUGUUUCUGUAUUAGUUCCUUACCUACUGUGGAGUACAAAUUAUCCCAAACUUAGUGGCUUAAAAUAGGCAUUUUAGUAUCUCAGCUUCUGUGGGUCAGGAAUUCAGAUGUGGCUUAGCUGGCUGGUCUGUCUUAAGGUUGCCAUCAAGAUGUCAGCUGGGGCUGUGGUCAUCUGAAGCCUUGACUGAGGAUAGAGGAUCUGUUUCCUAAAUGGCUCACUGACAUGGCUGACAAAGAGGCUUCAGCUCCAUGCCAUGCAGACUUCAGCAGGCUGCUUGAGUUUCCCCACAAUAUGGCGGCUGGCUUCUCAGAGUGAGUGAUGCAAGAGAGUGAGACUGAAGCUGCAGUACCUUUUAUGACCUAGCCUUGAACAGUACAUGCAGUCAUUUCCUCAGUAUCCUAUUGGUUAUGCAGGCCAGCCUGAUUGAUUGUGGAAAUGUGUGAAUGCCAGGAGGUGCGAAUUGUUUGGAGACCAUGUUGGAGGCCAACUGCCUUAGUAACCAUCACUUUGGUACCAGGACAUGUAACUUGCCUCAUUUGCACAGUUGCUUUUUCUUACCAUUUUGUAGACAUGAGUAACAUUGGGAAGUGAACCUGUUAACCUGUGAUAUGAAGAGAAGGGGAAGAGACCAAAAAUUUAUCAGCCACACCAAGCCCUGGAAAACAGCGGUACUAAUAACCCAGCCUCCCUUCCUGGGUGCUCACUCUGUACCAGGUACCUCAUGGGCCUCAGGGUGCUAUGCAACCCCUGUCCCCAUGAGCAGGUUCCACUGAUAUUUUCAAGUCAGGCCACUCAUGCCUAUGAAAUGCAUGAAAUGAGAUUUUUUUGUGAUGUUGGCUAUGGCAACACACGUGGCUCUGCCUGAUGGAAGCUGAGACAAAAUUGGUAACCUGAGCGAACCCGUGUGGAGAAGAUUUGAGCAGAGAGUAAGCUUAGGAUGGAUAAAUGCCCACGAUAAACAAAUAAUAAAUAGAUGAGAUGAAAUAUUUAUUUCAUGUACAGGAUGAGGAUUAAAUACGUUAACAAGAUGAGGAGUCAGGGUGAGCCUGGGGAAUCCCUGGUUUCACUGGAGCCUCCUGGCUGGGAGAAGUGUCACGUCUCCAGGCUGGGGCAGCGGCAGGGCUCCCUGGUUGGGAGGUCUAGUGGUGACACGUGGAACACCUGGUGGUGAGCCCCAGAAUGCCUGUGUCCCAGGCCGACCCAUACUGGUCAUGAGCUGUGUGAUCCAGGCAAGUGACUUCACGGACCUCAGUUUCCCAUCUGCAAAAUGGGAUGAUAACAGCAAACUUCACCACUUGUGAUGAGGAUUCGGAGAGUGAAUCUUUGGCCCAGCACAAGGCCUGUAAGGUGUUUCACAUGGCAGAGUUGGUGGCGGGUCACCAAGGUGGUGGUGUCCCAGGUUGAAGGAACCUUUCUAGAAAUUCCAUUGCCUGGAAGGAUCCAGUGACACACAGUGGACCCUGAGCCACAAAACAGACUGUGGUAACUGCUGGGGCCUCCCGCAGGGUGAUCCCCGAGGAGGCUGGGAGGAGCUCAGCCCUUUCUUCUGCUGGGGGCAUGUGCAGGCAUGGAGACUGCCCGGCCCCUUCCUGUCCUGUUGGGGCAUGAUUUUCAACAGAGGGAGGAUUCUGGGCAUGUUUUCCUUUGGAAGUCUCACCAGGCUGAGCAGGACUUAGAGGAACUCCGGCUACGUUUGCUGUCCCAACAAAUAGACCAGGGUUCCCUAAGUGUCGCUUCCUCCAAGAAGCCCUCCCUGAUGAGUUGAGCCACUUUAGUUUGUGCUCAGGCUCACCCUGCACGUCUUGGUUGCUCUCAUCACUGUAAUGAUCUAAAACACACGUCUGCUCAUGAGACCCGCAUCCCACCCCCGAUGCUGGGGCCGCUCUUGGAUUUUCAUGCCUGCUGCCAGCACCCAGGGGGAGCUCCGGAAAUGUCUGCUGGGGGCUCGGAAUACCCACCUUUCUGGUAAUGCAGCCCAGCGGGUCCCAGCCUCGUUUUCCAGCCCUCACUCAAAAUGGAGUCGCUCUGGUUCGAACGCCUCUGACAAGUGUGUACCUACGUGUCAGGCCCAUCCUUCCUGCAGGCCUUUGUCUUGGUGUCACCCUGCCUGAGCUGGCCCCAACCACAGUAGCAACAGUGAUGCUGAUGUGUGACUGCUGCCAGGAGCCUGCUCACAUGACCGUGUGGAGAAAGUUCUUUCCCUGAGGACCAUCUGGAGUGGACGCGUGCACUACCCCUCUCUGAAUACACCCUCCCCACGAGGCCCUCUGGAGCAUCCUGUAGAGCCAGCCCCUACCCAGAGACCCUGAGCCCAGAGAAUGCGCUGGGUGGUGAGCCUGGGGACGAAUGCAGAGCCCUAGGUCUCCUCUCCAGAAGUUGGAGUGCCAUGGUGUGGUCAUAGCCCACUGAAGCCUCAAACCUCUGGGCUGAAGCCAUCCUUCCGCCUCAGCCUCCCAAGUAGCUGGGACCAUAGGUGCAUGGCACUGUGCCUGGCACUGUCUGAAUGCAUACAGCUGCGUAGCAUCGUGGUAAGAACACCCGCCCUGACAUCACACAGACCUGCAUCCACGUCCCAGCUGAGCCUCAGUUCUCACAUCUGCAAAAUGGGGAGAACAACAGCAGCAGCGUCCUGAGGCUGGGGUGAGGACCGAGUGAAAAACCUUUGUCGCAUCUUUGGGCAUCGCAGGAGUUCAAUAAAUGUUAGCUAUCGUUGUCACUUUGUAUUAUCCAGCCCAGUCUGGCCCGUUGUAAUCACCUCCUGACCUGUGUCUGGGAGCUCACAGCUCCAAGCAGCAA